rnacentral:rRNA from 1 species
ACACCUGUUCCCAUGCCGAACACAGAAGUUAAGCUCCUUAGCGCCGAUGGUAGUUGGAUUUACGUUCCGCUAGAGUAGGACGUUGCCAGGC